AUGGCAUCAGGAAACAUAAACACCUACAAGAUAAAAGCAAAACCUAAUCCUAGAAAAACAAGCCUGACUAUUUACUCACCCAGAUCUAACUCUGGACUAGACCCAUGCAACUCACACCAGAGCCUACCAGCAGCUACUGCUGGUCAUGCUGCUAUGAGAACUGCCUUCACAGAGAGCCUAAAAAUCAGGCAGGAAAUCAGAUACAAAGAAGAACAUGGGGUAACAAGACAGUGACACUUUCCUGUAAGAAGACCAUAAAUCUUUAUACAAGGGGGCGGACUGGAGAACGUCAGGGGUUUCCAUGUGUGAGUGUUUAAAAUAAAACCUUAUUCAUGCUGGAGUGGGGAAGAAAAGAACUGGCAAGCUGGGAACACAAAAAGAAAAAAGGAGGAACCUUAAAAUAUGAGGUUUGACUGGGUCUUGAGCUCUGAAGGAGGGAGGAGGGCGGAUGCCCCGGCGGUCUCUCGGCGGGGACAUGCUGCCAUCCAGCGGCUGCGGCCACGCGGCCCCGAGGAUGGGGAUGUCCCGGAGCACCGCGCCCCGCGCUGCCCCCUGGGGGCGGAGGAUGCUUCGAGGAGUGGUGUUGGGGUCCGACGCCCCCGGCUGAUCCAGCCCCCCUGCCCCACUGCUCUUGUAGCCCUUCAGCAAAAAUGUUCAUGGAAGAGAGAGUCACUUACAGCCAUUCAUGCAAUUAUGGUGGCUUGGAGGAAACAGAUGAUUUGACAUGGAGUAGAUUUGCAGCCAGGACCCCAUUGCAAGCAGGACCUGAGUUCUUUGGAAGAGUCAUGAGCUGGGGGUGAUUGCCCUGUGAAGAGAGUAAAGAGUUCCCCAGCAAUCUGCAUUCAACCUUUGAAGUACUUUGGAAGCUGUGUAUAGAAGAUACCAGGGCAAUUUUGUGAACUGGAAAUGUAAAUUAGCAGAGCCGAACCUUCCUUAUUAAUGCUUCAAAAGACAUCAAAUCCCCUAACAAAGGACAGUCAGUACAGAGCAGGGCUCUCUCAUUGAUCGACUUGUCAUUUUUCUAUCUCAGCAUCACACAGGAGUGGGGAAUACAGGUGCUUUCGGGAGAAAUCCCCCAGCUCACAAAUCUGCCUUCUGUCCAGAAAGUAGGUCUCACUGGUGCAUAAUAAACGUGACAGCCUGGUAAAUAUUGAGGUGAGAGAGCACAGAUCCAUUCUGGUUCAGCACACUUGUGCAGCUACCAAAGACGGCACCAGGUUUCUAUGUGAGAUUACAACCCCAUAAUUCCAACAGAAUCACAUCAAACCCUCUCAAGGGGACAAAAAGUUUGCACAACUACAAGUUCAGUUGGACCAAGCUCAAUGGAGGGACUGGGUGACAUGACCCCCCCAAAGCUGGCUGGCAGUUCCCUGGCUCUGAAGCAAAUGAGAUGAUGCUGCAGACUGCUUUCCUAGCUACUUAAAGAUAAAAAGUACUUUAGAAUAGAGAAUAAUCCUCCAAAUCCUUAACUGAGUUACGAUUCUAGAGAAAGGAACAGAUCGUAUUUAUGAGAUGAAGAAUUACCUUGUCGUGUUCACAUCUUUUAAACCUCUGGUAUGAAAUAUUCACUCUUCUGAAGCCAAUCAAUGUUUCACUGCCAAAGGAAGUGGGUGCAGGCUUUCAGGCACAGAAUAUCAAUGGCAAGUUAUGUGGUUGUACAAGUGAGAGCCAAAGAUCCUUUACUUUCUCUUGAGUUCAAAAGAGAAUAUGCAUCUAGUAUUGGAUUUUAGUAAAAGUGAGCAUCUUGUAGAAGGUGAAUUUUACCUUAACUGAAGAAGGGAAGAAGCAGGAUUACAACUUUCAAAAUCUUCAGGAAGUGAAACGUGUUCAGUAUAUGCUGCUCUAAGGUUGUUAUUACUACUUCCUACAUUCAGGAAACCAUCAAGUUUACAAUAGGAGCAAAUUCUCGGAUUGUCAGUUUAAAUUUUAAGUUUGAGGUUGCUAUUCAAUUUCAGGGUACCACUAUCUCAAGCCAGAGAUCUAAGCAUCAGAGAGCAAAAUCAAAUGGAGUCAGAGUAGAUUUAGCAGAACACUACAUUAUGGACUAAGGAGUCAAACAUAUGCAAACCUUCCGUCCUUACUAAGAAACAGCCUCACACCAUCCACCUGGGGGACUGUCUUCAAGACCUAUCCUCUCCGCUGCCAGGGUGGGAGAAGCUGUGCCAAUGGUGCAAGAAGAACCAAACACUGGACCACAGGCUGGAUGUAUUCCUUUCGUCUUGAACAUGGUACCAAGCAGACAUGCUGUCAGCUAGCAGUGUUGGAAGUCUUUGUUAGAGAAAGAGAGGGCACUCUCUGUAUUGUACAUGUUUAGGAACAGUGGUGUUACACAUUAACUAUCAGAAUGAAAUUUGCUUACACUAUUGUGAAAAAGGGUCUGCCUACAGUGGUCUCCAAUUUUAGAUUUGAUUUUCAGUCCACAUUCCUGACUUCAGUCCUCAUCAGUCAGUUUUGCCCCAGACUCUUGCAUUAUGAAGACUAAUUUACAUAUCCAAAUAAAUAGCUCUCAAAGGAGAAAUUCAGGCUGACAUAAUGUAACUCAUCCUCAUCCUUUUAGAGCUAUUUUUGCAUAAAAAAAAGAUUAGCAAACAAAACCAAGGAGGUAAAGAAAGAAAUGUCAUGGAACCUCUGGGAUUUUUGAGAGACUACUCAACUAUCCUGUACAAUCAUGAAGAUGGGGUUGUGGGGAGGGAGAUUUCCCAGUUGACACGUUUCUCCACUUGUGAACAUGUUGAAAGAUCACUCAUAUGUUUUCAAUGAAGUCACUGACAGUCAAGAAUGCUGGAGGCAACAGCUGUUGGGGAUUGAUUUACCCCAAGGCUAUUUAAUCUCUCAGCCUCUCAUAAGGAUGCUUGCUAGGGGGAAGGUAAAGAAGCACAACUAAAAAUUGUAUUGCUUUCAGCAGCUGUUGUUAUUCCUGAAAGCCAAGAAAGGGUCAAAAAUAUGUGAUGAAAGUCUUGGAUUGUUAUCAGCUAUAGGGGUGGCCAAAGCUUACUGCUUCCUUUGGGAGUAAAGUUUCCUUUGUGGAAUGAAAUACAGUAAAAUUACUAACUCCCUUAGGCUUAGUUGCCUGGGAGUUACCAUGAAGUGUAUAUGUGCCUUGGAAUUUCCAGAAUUAUAAGUAUAUUAUGUCAGUAGGAAUGAUACAGGUUGUGAAAGGCAGCCGUUGUGUUCAGUAACAGGAGCUGAGACAAUCGGGUAGCAAGAAAAGAUAACAUAAAACAUUCAUUAAAAUGGUGGAAAAAAAAUGACUGAAAAGCAGAGUGCAGCUGCUGUUAUGUGUCAGUUACUAUUUCAGAAUGGUCUCCUUCUGUGAAACACUGGACUUUUAUGAAAUCAUAUUGUCCAACCAUGCAUCAGACCCCUGAAGUGUAAGGUAUUUGCCUACCUCGCUGAAAAUAAGAUACAUCCCAGCAGAGAUUCUUUUUGUAACCAUGCAUUUUUCACUCUUGGCUAGCAGAACUUUUCAGAGAGAAUUAGCAUGGAUUGCAUUUUCACUUGGGAAGGAAGCAAAAGUUGCAGUUCUGUUUCACCUAGGAUUUCAUGGCUGUGAAUAUGGGUGAUGCCUCGUGGCUUUAAGAGUGUGUAAUCAGCCACAGAACUUUUGUCUUUUCCCUAAAGCAAUCCAAGAUUUUUGUGACCAUGCCCCAUCCUGAACAUUAGCAGUGUACAGCCUUACAUCUCUCUCAUCCCUCCCAAAUUCAUGGAGUGGCUCACUCAGGAUGUGUCUACCAGGGCUUUCCUUUGGUUCAAUAAUACACUUCUGAAGCAAAUCUCUCAUUAUCCCCACUUACUGUGCUUUGUAUCCCAUCAUGGAUCUGUUUUGGGAAGCCAGAUUUGUUCCAGAUGAAAUGAAAGUGGAAAGUGCUCUCCAGGAGCAUACCUCAUGUAUUGCAUCACAAAGGGCUCCAUGAAAAACUCCAGGCAAUGAGAGAAUGGGCCUGAAAGUCACAGCUAUCCUGGAAAUGGCUAUGUUCAGAGGAGGAUGAGUAUUCUUCAGGGCAGUGCUGUCUCCUUACACUAGCUGAGUUCUCAAGAGCAACACACAAGUCUGCAAUGACCAAAAAAAAAUAAAAAUAAAAAAAUUGAACACAGCAAACUUUGCUGAAUGUGGACCUAAAAACUCUUUAAAUAUUCUUUAGAUGCUGAAAAAAAAAAAGGCAAAGCUAAAGAAAAGAUAAUGCUGAAAAAUAAGUAGCGUGUUUGUUCAUAAAAAGUAUCUUUACACAAUUAACGGAAUCACAGUAUCAAAGAAUUGUAAAGGCUGGAAAAGGGACCUCUGGUGACGAUCAAGUCCAGGUCUCAUCACAGCACCUUGGGAUUAUUGCUUAGUCCUGAGGAUGCCCAGAACUUGGUGCAUAGCUAAAGUUCAUCCAACAAAUUAAAAACCUUUGGCUCUGAGAAAAAUGGAAAAGAGAAAUUUUGGGCAAGUGCUUUGGGACUACAAGGAAAGAAUAAUCAAAUUACUGAAAAUCCCUGUCCCACAAGUACUUACAAAAACAGAAUAGUAAUUUUUCUUGUGACUUUUCAGCACUUCUCCCUCUGGGAUAAAGUGAACAUGGGAAAGAGGAAAAAUGUAGAAAUUAAGACAAAUUAAUUAUGAACUGUGUCUGACAGAAUUCAAUAACUGUUUUUCUGCUGACUAUACCAAAGUUUGGAUUGGGCAGUUUUGGUCUUCAGAACAUUCGAUAUCUACACAGUAGUCUGACUAGACAGAUUCCCAAUUCCUGUUUUUAUACACCUGCCAAGCUGACAGGCAUUCUAUGAUGGAAUAUGCAAGUCUUGUAACACAAUGCACUUACCCAACAAAAAGUGUCAUGAAAAGAUUAUUUGAUUUUCUAACAGCAGUCUUAAACCACAAAAUAAACCAAACCAAAACAAAGCUCAAAGCUUAUGAAUUAUUCCUUAAAAAUCAAAACAUAUUAAAAAAACACAACCACCUUCCUCCCACCAAGAGACAAGGUAACGGUGGAAAAGCAGAAUAAUGAAAGCAUUUGAUACUUACACGUCUUUCACCCUAUGGCACUCUAACACUGUAUGCUUGUACUCACCAAGCUGAAGUGUAACCACACCUGGGCCAUGGAUACUCCUUCUCCUCGGAGGAACACCUGUACAAUUAUCUGUGUUCUUCUUGGUAGUAGCAUCAGGUACAAAAGGGGCCUUGCAAGGACCUGACUGAAGUUCCCACUAAUCUCACCAGCUGUACACCCCAGCUUUUUCAUAGGGACAAUCCCCAAUCACUGAAGGAAAAGGGAUUUGUUCAACUCAAGCUUCAAUGCUUAUAGAAGCAUUCAACAAAAAUCCAUCCAUGCAGGUCUUUAAGAUCUUCUUUCUCCUGUAAAUUUGAUUCUCUUUCAAUAUUUUGACUUCCAGGCAUCUUGAGAGGCCCUAGUGCAGGCUCCCUUCCCAUCUUGUAAAAAAAAGGGAAGAGAUUAUGCUAUUUUCAGCCACCAGAUAAAUAAACUUCUACAGUUUACUUGAAGUGUAUUAUUUUUUAAACCCAAAAUUGUCAUUUCUGCUUAUUUAGGAAAGUGUCCUUAGUUCUUCUGCAGAUCUCCUAGGCUAUGACACUGUGUAUUCAAGGACAAACCUUGCUACAGGAAACCUUUUAAAUCAACAAAUAAAGUGCCAGUGCAGGCACUGAAGCUAUGGAGAUGCUGUCAUAGAAUCAGUUGUAGAAUCGUUUGACUUGGAAGAGACCCUUAAAGGCCAUCUAGUCCAACUCCCCUGCAAUGAACAGGGACACCUACAGCUAGAGGAGGUGCUCAGAGCCCCAUCCAGCCUGACCUUGAAUGUCUCCAGGGAUGGGACAUCUACCACAUCUCUGGGCAACCUGUUCCAGUGCUUCAACAUCCUUACUGUAACAUAUUUCUUCCUUAUAUCCAAAUCCAAAUCUCCCCUCUUUUAGUCUGAAACCAUUUCCCCUUGUCCUAUCACAACAGACCUUCUUAUAGAGUUUGUCCCCUUCUUUCUUAUAACCUCUCCUGAGGUCACAAAACCUCUGAACCUUUCUUCAUAAAAAGUGGUUCAUAAAAGCACUGAAACCUUUCUUCAUCUCACCUAGCCAAGCUCCAAGACACUUCUCCUUUUUUUUUUUUAAAUGUUAGAGUUUCUUUUUGAGUAAAUCAGAUUCUGUUACUGUCUUACUACACAGAUGCAUGGACAUCAAUACAGGCAGUAGAGAGGAAGUCAGUGGAAGCAUUUUUAAAAAAGAAAAUAUAUAUUAAAAAAAAAAACAAAAAAAUGUUGACUUACAUUGAUUUAAAGUGAUUUAAAGAUUUAAAGGCUCAGUGUAAAGCUCACAUAGAAUAGCAAAGUCCCAAUGACAGCAAGUAGCAGUGUGUAGGCUUAGCAAAUGACCCAUCAUAUCGUGAAAUAUUUCAGUUUGUUUUCUCUGAGUUCAUAGAGCUUUGUCAAGAUAUAGCUACAGCAGAUGCCAUUAUAAAUAUCUGAGUUCAAGAUGUUACAAAGAUAAAGAACAUACUUCUCAGACCUUUUUCUUUUCAUAGACAUAUAUUUUUUUAAAACCAUCGUUCUCCAGUAGGACUGUCAUAAUUAGUUCUAAAGCCUGUGGAAAAAUAUAACUCAAUUUCACACAAAGAGUCAGGAUCAAGGCGUAAUCUGUGAGAUCUCUGGUCAUUUUAAAGCUUUCUCAUAAUACAGCCUCUUUCACACUGUUGAUGGAAGUCUUGGGACAAGAAGACAGUUGCUUCUGUCUUGUUCUUGGGUGUGAAAAUCAGUAGGAGAAUGUGAAAGGCUUAGAACAUACCAUCCCAGAGAACUGAGUCUCAGCUUGCAAAGGAGACUCCAGUUAGGCAAUGACAAAUUCCUUCCUCUCAUUAGAGACACGUUCCUCAGCAUCAGGGGCCUUCCCUGGAAUGUGGCUUUCAGCUCCAAGGUCAUUCUAAUGAUGGAAAAAGAACCCAAGAGAUCAUGACGGUCUAAAGCAAAAGCUUGUGAAGCAGCUUUCGCAGACUCUCCAAGCCACGUGUGAAGGAAUGAGCAGCAGCGUGCCUGGGGACACUGAGAAGCUGCAAGCUGUGUUCCUGCAGAGCAUGGAGAGGUCAUCUCCCGGGGCAAGGCAUGGAGAGGGUGAUAAGAAACCACCCACAUCACCUGCUGCUUCAAAAUCAGUGUCUGUGCAGAAGGAUGUUCUUCACAAAGAAAUAACAAAUUUUUGUGUCCCUUUCCAUAAAUGGUAAGGAUGCAUUAGGUGAUGGCAGAAAGCGAGGAAGUAGAUGUAGUUCCCAAACUCUGGGGCAUAAACACAACAAAGUAUAAAAGAAGGAGGAAAGAUACAGAGAGGGUAAAAAUAAACAUUUUGAUUCAUCUCAUCUUGUGAAUCACAAAUGACAGGCACAUGGAAACUCAAAGAACCACACUAGACCAGACAAUGCAUAAUUCAGAGCCACCAGGUACAUCAGAAACAAAAAACAGAGGUACAGAUAUGAGACAGGAUUAGUCUUGAAGUAGGACAUUGUUUCUAUAGAAGGAAGAUAAAAAUAAUGAAGGGUUCAUAGGAAGAUUUGCUGAAGAUACUGUUGGAAACUUAACUAAGAGGGCUGCUCCUAAAGUAAUACCUCCUAUUUUAUUAUGUUGGCCCAUGAUGUCAGAAGUGUCAGAAGUUGGUGGUAUGGAAGUAGAUGUUGAACCUUCCCACCAAUACUCUGUUACAUGUUUUUGCCAUGUGACAGAUGGCAGCACUCUGUGUUGGGGGCACUCUGACAGAAUGGUAUCUGACAUAGAAGUACAUAUGAAGCAAAGACAUGGAAUUGAAUUCCUCCAUGCAGAAAAAACAGCACCCACUGACAUUCAUCAGUGCUUGCUGAAUGUUUAUGGAGACCAAGCAGUGGACAUGAGAACAGGGAUGUGGUGGGUGGAGCAUUUCAGCAGUGGCAACAGUGAUGAGAAUGGCAAGCCACAUACCAGACUGCCAUUCACAUUUUUACCAGUGCGGCACACAGGCUCUUGUUCAUCACUGGUGAAAAUGCACAACUAAUGGUGGUGACUAUGUUGAAAAAUAGUAAUUUGUUGCUGACAAUUUGCUCUGUCAAAUAGUAUUAAUGUGCUCUUUGCAUCUGUUGUAUUUUCCAAGGAAAUAAAUAGGAAGCAUUAUUUUGGAACGGCCUACAUAGUUCUGACCUCUAUGCCAUGGAAGACAGUUCAGCUGUAUUUAGGAGAAAUAUAUUUUCUGAUUUGCACAUAAAGGCCUAAUCAAUUACAUAUUACUUGCAUAUAGCACUAACAUGUUUUGCUUUCCACUGUCACUGGCUGAACAGCAAAUCAGACAGCCUGAACUUCUGAUGGCAAAAUUCUGAAAUGUUCCUCUCAUCUUUUGGGAUAUUUUGGUCGUUAGGGGGAAAUAAGUUCCUAUAUUAGUAGAUCUCAAAGAAUCACAGAAUAAUUUGAGUUGGAAGGGACCCCAAAAGGUCACCUAGUCCAACUGCCCUGCAUUGAACAGGGUCACCUACAGCUAGAUCACAUUGCUUAGAUCCCCAUCCAGCCUGACCUUGAGGUUCUUCAGGGACAAAGCAUCCACCACCACCAAUGGGGCAACCCAUUCCAGUGAGUGAAGCAUUUUGUUGUUGAAAAUAAAAACACACAUUAUGUUACAUUAAAUGUGUGUAUAAGUAGAAAGUAUAAACUUAAACAAGUAUACAUUCAUUUAUAUAGAGUUACCUCAUUGGAGUCAGCACUCGUCUCAAACUGACAGCAAUGCCCUCUAAGA
ensembl:lncRNA